rnacentral:lncRNA from 1 species
UUUUAAGUUAGAACGUCCAGGGUUUUGGGACCCCUAGGACGUUCCAUUCUCUUAAGCAUAUUUUGAGGGAGAAAAAACCCGAGUUGGUGUUUCUUAUGGAAACACGAAUGCCGAAAGCUCAAAUGGAGAAAAGAAGAUUGCAAUGUGGUAUGCCAGGGGGAAUUUCUGUGGGAAAAGUAGGGUUGGGGGGAGGUUUAUUAUUGAUGUGGACAACUGGUUGGGAGGUGAAUUUGUUGUCAUACUCGACAGUCAUAUACAUGUAUGAGUUAAAACCCCGGA